AGUGAACGCUGGCGGUAGGCCUAACACAUGCAAGUCGAACGGCAGCACAGUAAGAGCUUGCUCUUACGGGUGGCGAGUGGCGGACGGGUGAGGAAUACAUCGGAAUCUACUUUUUCGUGGGGGAUAACGUAGGGAAACUUACGCUAAUACCGCAUACGACCUACGGGUGAAAGCAGGGGAUCUUCGGACCUUGCGCGAUCGAAUGAGCCGAUGUCGGAUUAGCUAGUUGGCGGGGUAAAGGCCCACCAAGGCGACGAUCCGUAGCUGGUCUGAGAGGAUGAUCAGCCACACUGGAACUGAGACACGGUCCAGACUCCUACGGGAGGCAGCAGUGGGGAAUAUUGGACAAUGGGCGCAAGCCUGAUCCAGCCAUCCCGCGUGGGUGAAGAAGGCCUUCGGGUUGUAAAGCCCUUUUGUUGGGACAGAAAAGCAGCAGGUUAAUACCCCGCUGUUCUGACGGUACCCAAAGAAUAAGCACCGGCUAACUUCGUG
rnacentral:rRNA from 1 species